CUUGAUGAUUAUGUACUGGACCAUGCAGUAGGCACUGUGGCGUGUGCUGCACAGGAAUCAAUGAACUACGAAGAUUCGGUGAAGGAUGCUAAAUAGUGUGUCGGAAGACGAACUGAAAUCACAUCAUCAAAACAACACUUUGGAAGCUUGUACCGUUGCCUAAAGUACAGAACGUUGUUGGCUCCAUCUCAAGGUUAUUAUGUGCAAAAGUACGGAGAAGACUUUGACGAGGUCUACGCUCCUUUUACGCAACAUGCAUAAUUUCGUACAUUUUUGACAAUAGCGGCUAAUCGAAAGAUGACUGUGAAACACCCCGAUAAAAAAACAACCUAUCUUAAUGGAUCCCUUGACGAAAAGGUCUGUCUACAUGCGUCAACCUCCAGGCUUUAAAGAAGCAGGAAAAGAGAAGCUUGUCUGGCCAUCUGUCCCUGUGGUUUGGAGAGCAACAUUUUUUAUCGUGAAAGGUUCCGUAAACCAAGAAAAUUAUUUGCAGGAGGGUCCGAGAAAACGUCCGUUGCCUUUUAUCAAGCAACACAGUUGUUUCGUUCAGUUUUGACCGGAAUAGGCAUCUUGCCGUAGAAAAGGCGAUGGAGUGGUAUGCCGCGAACAAUGUUUAGGUGGCGCCAAAGGACAUGAACUAGAACACACCAGAGCUCCGCGGAGCAUCACGAAGACAAGAAAGACAAUUAUCAAAGAGAUGCAGUUCAAGGCAAUCACUGACAAAACCGAAGGUAACAAAGUGCUUCAAGGGGCCGAAUGGCAUAUAUUACUCGACUUGGUUCGACGA